rnacentral:lncRNA from 1 species
GGCUUAUCUUCAACCAUUCAUAUGAUCACAAACAACAUUCUAAAGCUAUUGUUUAAUAGUGAUUAAUUUAAUAGGCCUCCAAAACACGUUUAUACUAAAUAAACAGCACUUACGUGAAUAAGCCACAAGGGUAAAGUGUGUUGGAAUAAGAACAAAAGGAGAAAAAGGAGGAAGAAUAAUGGGAGUAAAAAGGGGGGAGAGAGAUGAAAGAAGAAUGGGAAGAAGGAAGAGAAAUGCAAAUUAAAACAAUGAGAUUCUACUACAAACCUGUUAGAAUGGCCACAAUCCGGAACACUGGCAACACAAAUUGCUGGAGACAAUGGGAGCAACGGGAACUAUCGUCUAUCGCUGAUUGGAAUGCAAAAUGGUACAACUACUUUGGAAGACAGUUUGGCAAUUUUUUACAAAAGAAAACAUACUUUUAUCAUACAAUCCAGCAAUCAAGUUCUUUGAUUCAACCCAAAGAAAUUGAAAACUUACAUCCAUACCAAAACCUGCACUUAGAUGUUUAUAGCAGCUUUAUUCAUAAUCGCCAAAACUUGGGAGCAGCCAAGAUGUUCUUCGGUAGAUGAUGGGUGAAUAAACUAUUGUAAUCCAGACAAUGGAAUAUUAUCCCAUGCUAAAAAGAAAUGAGCUAUGAAACCAUGAAAAGACAUGGAGGAAUCUUCAAUGUCUAUCACUAAGUGAGAAAGCCAAUCUCAGAAGGCUACAAUACUGUAUGAUUCCAACUACAGUAGUUCCCCCUUGUCUGCAGGCGGAUAUGUUACAAGACCCCCAGUGGACACCUGAAACUGAGGAUAGUACUAAACCUUAUAUAAACUAUGUUUUUUCCUAUACAUACAUACCUAUGAUAAAGUUUAAUUUAUAAAUAGGCAUAGUAAGAGAAUAAAACAAUAAUAAAAUAGAACAAUUGUAACAAUAAUCUGUAAUACAAGUUAUGUGAAUGUGGCCUUCUCUCUCUCUCUCAAACAGUCUUAUUAUACUGUACUCACCCUUCUUUUGUUGAUAUGCGAUGAUGCAAUGCCUACAUGAUGAGAUGAAGAGAAGUGAAUGAUGUAGGCAAUGUGAUGUAGUGUUAUUUUCAGGCCACAGUUGACUGUGAUAACUGAAAGCAUGGAAAGUGAAACCAUGCAUAAAAGGGAGACUGCUGUAUAUGACAUUCUUGAAAAGGCAAAACCACAGAGACAGUAAAGAUCACCAUUGUGGAAGACCGCAUAUAGAGAAGUGAGACAAUACUCCUGACUUAGAGCAGAAAACCUGGAGAUCCCUUUCACUAUUGUGUUUCUAAAAGCCUUGAAGAAUUUCUGUCUCACUCCAAGUGCCGCUGGAUGCCAUAUAUGGACAUUUCUCCAAUCAUGAAAUUAUGGCCUACAGAAAUAAAAAUGACCUCUACAGAAAAAAAUGGCCUCUAUAUAAGGUUGUUUUUGCAUAUAAUGGGCUACAUUUACUCAUGAUACUGAAUUUCUUCUCAUUCAAAAAUAUAACUAAGUCACAUAAAAUAAAACACUAGAAUUAUUGGUAUAACUGUUAUUUCAG